rnacentral:rRNA from 1 species
CUACGGGAGGCUCCAGUGAGGAAUAUUGCACAAUGGGGGAACCCUGAUGCAGCAACGCCGCGUGGAGGAUGACGCAUUUCGGUGUGUAAACUCCUUUUAUAUGUCAAGAAAAUGACGGUAGCAUAUGAAUAAGCACCGGCUAACUCCGUGCCAGCAGCCGCGGUAAUACGGAGGGUGCAAGCGUUACUCGGAAUCACUGGGCGUAAAGGACGCGUAGGCGGGUUGGAAAGUCAGGUGUGAAAUCCUACAGCUUAACUGUAGAACUGCACUUGAAACUUCUAAUCUAGAGUAUGGGAGGGGGAGAUGGAAUUAGUGGUGUAGGGGUAAAAUCCGUAGAUAUCACCAGGAAUACCUAAAGCGAAGGCGAUCUCCUGGAACAUUACUGACGCUAAGGCGUGAAAGCGUGGGGAGCAAACAGGAUUAGAUACCCUUGUAGUC